ensembl:lncRNA novel transcript
GAGUCAUUAAAUCUCAAGGAUAUCUAUUUGGUCAUGUUUUCUUGUGGUAUUUCAAGGCUACUGGUGACUUCUUCAACAGUUGAGAAACUGAACUAUGUGUUCAUGAAAAUACUCCAUCAUUAAAGUUUAUGAUCUUGUCCAUCAUUCUUAACAAUUUGACAGCGUGUCCAGAACAUUGCGCCUAAAUGAAUCUAACAAGAGGUAAGUUGAACAUAAUAUUGGUAUUUGAAAGUCUUCAAUAGAAUUAGGCCCUUAAUUUAGCUUUUUCUAAGACUUUAAACAUUCAAAUGUUUCUUCUGCUUAUACUUAAAUAGUCUUUAAGGCAACUUAUUUGUUCCCUGAACAAACUUCAGUUGCUUAAAAAAAAAAAA